CUGGGAGGGCCUCAUGCAACCAGCUGUGGUCUACAGAUGCCACCUGCUACCCCAUCUCCUCUUGCUACAAUUGGCUUCAGAAGAGAGGGCUUGACAUGAUUCUGGCCAGAGCUCUUCCCUUUCUGCAGAGGGGAUUCUUGAAUUUUAAUGACCACCAGCAGUGGCAGCAUCAUCACCACCAGCACCAUCACAAUGCUCACCACCAACAGCACCAUGAUCACCACCACCAUCAUUACCAUGAUUACCACCACCACCACCACCAUGAUCAUUACCAUCACCACCACCAUCAUAAUCAUCACCACCACCAUCAUUAUGAUCACCACUUCUACCACCACUACCAUUACCACUAUCAUUAUCACACCACCACCGUGAUCACCACCAUCAUCAUCACUACGAUCAACACCAUCACCAGCACCACCAUCACUAUGCUCACUACCCUCACCACUACCACUAGUGCUGCUGCCACCACCACCACACCAUCACCAUGAUCACUAUAUCACCACCGUCACCAUGAUCAUCACCACCAUCAUUACCAUGAUUACCACCACCACCACCAUGAUCAUUACCAUCACCACCACCAUCCACCACCAUCAUAAUCAUCACCACCACCAUCAUUAUGAUCACCACUUCUACCACCACUACCAUUACCACUAUCAUUAUCACACCACCACCGUGAUCACCACCAUCAUCAUCACUACGAUCAACACCAUCACCAGCACCACCAUCAUCACCACAACAGCAAGACAGCCCCUCCCAUUUGGCCAUCACAUUCCAGGGCAGAAGACGGCACAGCAGUGUCCUUCUUUUGCUUCUUUGUUCUUC
rnacentral:lncRNA from 1 species